AGAAAAAGAAGAAGAAGGGUGUUGUUGUUGUUGUGGUUGCGUUGGGAUAAUUCAGCUCGCCACCUCCGACACGUCACAGCAGCACUUCUGCCUGGAUACACUGCCAGCUGAAGAGAGAGGCUGAAUCCACCAUGGAUGGAGGUUCAAGUUCCAGUCCAUCGUCAGAACAGGAUCAGAAAAAGCAAAGCUGUUCAUCAUCCCAAAGCAACAAAGCAUCAGUCAGCCAGAAUCUAAAUACAAAGCACAGGACAGACUGCCUGGAAACAGGGCCUGAAAUUCCCCAAUGCAAAAUGGGCAGCAAGAAGGUAGACGACAUGAGCUUCAUGAUAUCAUGUACAAACUGGUACUAGAUUCCUGUCAUUGUUUAGUUCCAUCCUGCAUUAGCUGCAUGUUGGCUGCACUGCUAAACAUGUGAUCUGUAAACAAGCCUGAUAUUUAAGUUAUAAAACAUGUUGGAACAAGUUUAUUGUAUAUUGUUAAUGUAUUGUCACAGUGUAAAAGCACAAUAAAAGUACACAAAAGUGCAAUAAUUUACAAUUGCCCUUAAAUUUUAUUAGGGUCUCAUUUUUGACCUGUGAUUAAAAACUACAAAAACAAGUAUGUUUUGUCUGAAGUAGCUGUGUUUAUUACAUAAGCUUAUUCGUACAAUAUUGGGUUAUUUUUGGGGAGCCGAGAGAACCCAAACUGAUGUUCUUGGCUCCAAAAUGAUUUUCAGCAGUUGAACAGUCCAGUGUCCUAUGUUGU